rnacentral:rRNA from 1 species
CCUACGGGUGGCAGCAGUAGGGAAUCUUCCACAAUGGGCGCAAGCCUGAUGGAGCAACGCCGCGUGGGUGAAGAAGGUCUUCGGAUCGUAAAACUCUGUUGUUAGAGAAGAAAGUGCGGGAGAGUAACUGUUCACGUGUCGACGGUAUCUAACCAGAAAGCCACGGCUAACUACGUGCCAGCAGCCGCGGUAAUACGUAGGUGGCAAGCGUUAUCCGGAUUUAUUGGGCGUAAAGGGAACGCAGGCGGUCUUUUAAGUCUGCUGUGAAAGCCUUCGGCUUAACCGGAGUAGUGCAUUGGAAACUGGGAGCCUUGAGUGCAGAAGAGGAGAGUGGAAUUCCAUGUGUAGCGGUGAAAUGCGUAGAUAUAUGGAAGAACACCAGUGGCGAAGGCGGCUCUCUGGUCUGUAACUGACGCUGAGGUUCGAAAGCGUGGGUAGCAAACAGGAUUAGAUACCCCGGUAGUC